rnacentral:rRNA from 1 species
UACGUAGGGUGCAGGCGUUAAUCGGAAUUACUGGGCGUAAAGCGUGCGCAGGCGGUUUCUUAAGUCAGAUGUGAAAGCCCCGGGCUUAACCGGGGAACUGCAUCUGAUACUGGAUGGCUUGAGAUUGGGAGAGGGAUGCGGAAUUCCAGGUGUAGCGGUGAAAUGCGUAGAUAUCUGGAGGAACACCGGUGGCGAAGGCGGCAUCCUGGACCAACACUGACGCUGAGGAGCGAAAGCCAGGGGAGCAAACGGG